AUUUCUGUCACCUGGGUGUGGAAAGUUGUGGCACGGACUCUGUGGCAGGGCUUUGGGCAAGAUGGAAGGCUGAGGGACUUCGGUAUCUCCUUCCCAGGUAGAACCAAGGCUGUCACUAGGUUGACGGAGGCUCACAGUUCCACUGCUCCAAGACUUUGUGCGGCUAUGUUCAACAGAUGGCUGGGCCUCGAGAUGCUCUGAAGGUCUGUAGUUACUGCCUUGUUUGAUAAAGGUGACCCAGCCUUUGGCUGGCCCCUGUCCUGGAGGUGGAGGGCUGGAAUCUCCCUGGUCUUCACACUCAAGCUCCGUACAACUCUCUCCAGCUAAGUCUACCUCAGGCCUCCCAGAGGCCUCAUCCAGCUCCUCUUCAGACAUGUCCAGCUGUUGGUUGCUCCUGGAGAGCCAGGGCAGAGGCACGGUGGAACCCUCUGGGCUGCUUGCAUCGUCAGCUUCGGUCUCUGGAAAGACAGGCAGGUCACUCACUGAUGAGUGAGCAUGUGCUGGGUCUAUAAUGCCACCUGAAUCACUUCAUGACCUCAUGAUGCUGAGGAGGACAAGAACCUAGGGCCACCCCCACAUAACCAGCCCACCGCAGAGCAGCCUGCACCAUCGCAGAGGCCCCUACGUGCAGAAAGAGGAACGGCCAGUUUGCUGCAAUGACUCAGCCACAAAAAUCUCACCGUUCUCCGGAGAGCCCACACAUCCCUGGCAGCAACAGUCAGUGGUUACAGUUUUGCACCCAUUUCUCAAGUGCCUCGACUUGUGAGCUUUACCUGAGAAAGACCUUACUCUUCUGUGCAAGUCACAGCCCUCAGUGUCAUGGAGCCUGGAACUGGCCAAGUCAGGUAGUCAAUCAACAAACACACAUCAGUGUCAAAUAGGUACCAACCUCAGGCAGAGAUGAAGUUGCAAUAGAGCAGCAGGCUGAGCACCAGGCAAGCAGAUCCCAGCCAGCCCUGUAUGUUCCAGCCACUCGAGGCAUGUGGCUGGCUGACUGCUCCUCUCUGUAAAGGGGAAUGGUGGUCACCUAGGCCUGUUCCUGCUGCACCCAUCCCUCUGUCUGGUGAGCACCCUGACCCUCAGAGACGCACCAAAUGAACUUGGAGGUUCUCAGCCCCUAGGAUACAGAAACACACAUGCUUGCCAAGAUCCCACCCUCCGUGGAGGACGCAAUCCAGAAAAACCACUGAAGAAGGAAGUUUGGUGACAGCUUUAACAGACCAAGCACAUCUAGGGGAGAAAGAGGAAGGGGAAUCGGGACAGAGGAACAGCACAGACAAAAACACAGAGGUCUGAAAAUACAAGCUGAACUUCAAGGAUGGCUCAGGGCCUGGCCCCUGAGUGCCACAGGCAGGCAGGGAAGUCUGGACAGCCGUCAGGGUAGCAGUGGAAGCUGGGGAUUCGAAUUAUGAUGUCCUGACCCAGGAGGGCCAGCCCCUCUAUAACUAGGUCCUGCUAAUGGUUGGGCCAUUGAGCUAAAGGUCCCCACCUGCCCCCAGAGAAACUGCACCCCACCCUCCCCAAAAAAACACCAAACACUGCUUUCUCUAUGUCCUUGCUUCUUAUCACCUAACACCUGUACAGAACUGAUCUCCAUGUUGUCACACCCUCCAGGGAUUCUAUUUAGCAACUAGCUAGGCAAUGCCCUGUUCCCCACACACUGCUUCAUACAGCUCUCUCUCUCUCGAGCGCGCGCGUGCGUGCGUGCAUGUGUGUGUGUGUGUGUGUGUGUGUGUGUGUGUGUGUGUGUGUGUGUGCGUGCGUGUGCGUGUGUGUCCAGGAUGAUCCUCCCCCACUGAAGCUUCAACCUUCAGCAGCCCUGGCAUUCAGAAUCUCCAUGCUACCCAGCUAGAGAGAGCCAGGACAUCCCCACCUUAACCUCAUCCCGAUGAGGAAACAGAGGCACCCACCUAAUGAGAACAACCAGGAAGUUUAGAACACUGUGACUAUUAAACCAAGGCCAGGAGAUGUAUAGGAGGCAGGAGGAUGGCAGGGGAAAGACCUCCUUACCAAGCUGCUGGACCCUUUUGAAGGGCUGGGCUGUGGGGCUCCAAAGCAAGUUUGGAUCCGUGGCAGGGCAUAGACCUGUUCACAGGAGUGGCCUUUGGCCUGCGGCAAGUGGAGAUACCCAUGACGGAUGUCCCCGGACUGUCCCUUGGCUCACCCAAAGAGCCUGGGAGGAACUAACAAGGGGCCAGGCUAUUACUGACUCUCAUCUUGUCCUACUGUAGCUCUAAGCUGGCUUCCUGGCCCCCACUUUGUCCCUGCCCUUAUUUGGGUAGGAGGGUGUCAUCUCCUGGCCUGUUCCUCACUUCCGAACAUCUCGAGACCCUCAGUAACCCAAGCACUAACUGGCCUUGAGAUGAGCCCACCCCGGGGGACAGAGAGGGACCAACACGGGUCCAAGUUCACCAAGGGAACCAAAUUGGAUCUGGAACUGGAAACUAGCAUCUUGGGGUCCACUCUUUCGUGGGGGCCGGACUCCCAGAACUGGACAGGAGUGGCAGCAGCUGCGUAGCUGUGAUUUCCUGGCUGGGCUGGGCUGCCUGCCAGGGUUGUCCAGAGUCUAUGACUGGCCCAUCCAGAGGGAAGGCGGCCUUCCCUCUGGCCCUCCUCCUGGCUCAGCUCCUUACCUCACUAGUACUACACCACCAUCCUGCCGGCCUGGGCUCAGGGGAG
rnacentral:lncRNA from 1 species